CUCAGUUCGUUGGCUAAGCCUUGAACGUUGUGUGACCAGAAUCCUGAGGCUUUACGAACCUCUCGCGAGCUACUUCAAAUCUGCAAAUGAAAAUCAGGCCAGAUUCAAGAGGCUUGUGCAGGAAUUUACUGACCCCAUGACAGAAGUGUACCUGCUGUUCUACCAAGCCACCGUACCAACCUUCACUGACUUCAACUUGCUUCUCCAGAGACAGCAGUCAGCCAUAUAUUUGUUACAUGAUGAGAUGGUGAAAUUCGUACGCAAGCUGUGUUCAAGAUUUAUGGUUCCAGCAGCUCUGCAAGGCCAUGAGGAG